rnacentral:rRNA from 1 species
CUAACACAUGCAAGUCGAACNGGUAACAGGAAGCAGCUUGCUGUUUCGCUGACGAGUGGCGGACGGGUGAGUAAUGUCUGGGAAACUGCCUGAUGGAGGGGGAUAACUACUGGAAACGGUAGCUAAUACCGCAUAACGUCGCAAGACCAAAGAGGGGGACCUUCGGGCCUCUUGCCAUCGGAUGUGCCCAGAUGGGAUUAGCUAGUAGGUGGGGUAACGGCUCACCUAGGCGACGAUCCCUAGCUGGUCUGAGAGGAUGACCAGCCACACUGGAACUGAGACACGGUCCAGACUCCUACGGGAGGCAGCAGUGGGGAAUAUUGCACAAUGGGCGCAAGCCUGAUGCAGCCAUGCCGCGUGUAUGAAGAAGGCCUUCGGGUUGUAAAGUACUUUCAGCGGGGAGGAAGGGAGUAAAGUUAAUACCUUUGCUCAUUGACGUUACCCGCAGAAGAAGCACCGGCUAACUCCGUGCCAGCAGCCGCGGUAAUACGGAGGGUGCAAGCGUUAAUCGGAAUUACUGGGCGUAAGGCGCACGCAGGCGGUUUGUUAAGUCAGAUGUGACAUCCCCGGGCUCAACCUGGGAACUGCAUCUGAUACUGGCAAGCUUG